UAGGGAAUCUUCCACAAUGGACGCAAGUCUGAUGGAGCAACGCCGCGUGAGUGAAGAAGGCUUUCGGGUCGUAAAACUCUGUUGUUGGAGAAGAAUGGUCGGCAGAGUAACUGUUGUCGGCGUGACGGUAUCCAACCAGAAAGCCACGGCUAACUACGUGCCAGCAGCCGCGGUAAUACGUAGGUGGCAAGCGUUAUCCGGAUUUAUUGGGCGUAAAGCGAGCGCAGGCGGUUUUUUAAGUCUGAUGUGAAAGCCCUCGGCUUAACCGAGGAAGUGCAUCGGAAACUGGAAAACUUGAGUGCAGAAGAGGACAGUGGAACUCCAUGUGUAGCGGUGAAAUGCGUAGAUAUAUGGAAGAACACCAGUGGCGAAGGCGGCUGUCUGGUCUGUAACUGACGCUGAGGCUCGAAAGCAUGGGUAGCGAACAGGAUUAGAUACCCUGGUAGUCCAUGCCGUAAACGAUGAAUGCUAGGUGUUGGAGGGUUUCCGCCCUUCAGUGCCGCAGCUAACGCAUUAAGCAUUCCGCCUGGGGAGUACGACCGCAAGGUUGAA
rnacentral:rRNA from 1 species